rnacentral:rRNA from 1 species
UACGAAGGGAGCUAGCGUUGUUCGGAAUCACUGGGCGUAAAGCGCACGUAGGCGGAUUUGUCAGUCAGGGGUGAAAUCCCAGGGCUCAACCUCGGAACUGCCUUUGAUACAGCAAGUCUUGAGUUCGAGAGAGGUGGGUGGAAUUCCUAGUGUAGAGGUGAAAUUCGUAGAUAUUAGGAAGAACACCGGUGGCGAAGGCGGCCCACUGGCUCGAUACUGACGCUGAGGUGCGAAAGCGUGGGGAGCAAACAGG